UACGGGGGGGGCAAGCGUUGUUCGGAAUUACUGGGCGUAAAGGGCCAGUAGGCGGCCAACUAAGUCGGAUGUGAAAUCCCCAGGCUUAACCUGGGAACUGCAUCCGAUACUGGAUGGCUUGAAUUCGGGAGAGGGAUGCAGAAUUCCAGGUGUAGCAGUGAAAUGCGUAGAUAUCUGGAGGAAUACCAGUGGCGAAGGCGGCAUCCUGGCCCUGUCCUGACGCUCAGGGGCGAAAGCGUGGGGAGCAAACCGG
rnacentral:rRNA from 1 species